rnacentral:rRNA from 2 species
UGCGCGAGUUAAUAGGAAUUUAAACCUAUAAGCGAAAUGAAAGUAAAGAUUCGUUUUAUACGAUUCUAGGGCAGAUGAAUUGUGGUAAUCCACAUGUUCCGCAUGCCCGGGGCGUCCCGUUCUUAUUGCAAGAUGGGGCGCACCUAGAGCGUACAUGCUGGGACCCGAAAGAUGGUGAACUAUGCCUGGUCAGGACGAAGUCAGGGGAAACCCUGAUGGAGGUCCGUAGCGGUUCUGACGUGCAAAUCGAUCGCAAGAACUGGGUAUAGGGGCGAAAGACUAAUCGAACCAUCUAGUAGCUGGUUCCCUCCGAAGUUUCCCUCAGGAUAGCUGGCGCUCGUUGUAUACGAGUCUCAUCUGGUAAAGCGAAUGAUUAGAGGUAUUGGGGUCGAAACGAUCUCAACCUAUUCUCAAACUUUAAAUGGGUGAGAUCUCCGGCUUAUUUGAACGUAAAGCCGUGAGAAUCGGAUCAGAGUGCCAAGUGGGCCACUUUUGGUAAGCAGAACUGGCGCUGUGGGAUGAACCAAACGCCGAGUUAAAGCGCCUAAAUCGUUGCUUAUGGGAUACCAUGAAAGGUGUUG